UACGGGAGGCAGCAGUGGGGAAUAUUGCACAAUGGGCGCAAGCCUGAUGCAGCCAUGCCGCGUGUAUGAAAAAGGCCUUCGGGUUGUAAAGUACUUUCAGUCGUGAGGAAGGUGUUAAGGUUAAUAACCUUAGCAAUUGACGUUAGCGACAGAAGAAGCACCGGCUAACUCCGUGCCAGCAGCCGCGGUAAUACGGAGGGUGCGAGCGUUAAUCGGAAUUACUGGGCGUAAAGGGCACGCAGGCGGUUAAUUAAGUUGGAUGUGAAAUCCCCGGGCUUAACCUGGGAAUGGCAUUCAAGACUGGUUAGCUAGAGUCUUGUAGAGGGGGUAGAAUUCCAUGUGUAGCGGUGAAAUGCGCAGAGAUGUGGAGGAAUACCGGUGGCGAAGGCGGCCCCUGGACAAAGACUGACGCUCAUGUGCGAAAGCGUGGGGAGCAAACAGGGAUUAGAUACC
rnacentral:rRNA from 1 species